UAGUGGACGUUACUCGCAGAAUAAGCACCGGCUAACUCUGUGCCAGCAGCCGCGGUAAUACAGAGGGUGCGAGCGUUAAUCGGAUUUACUGGGCGUAAAGCGUGCGUAGGCGGCUUCGUAAGUUGGAUGUGAAAUCCCCGAGCUUAACUUGGGAAUUGCAUUCAAAACUGCGAGGCUAGAGUAUGGGAGAGGAUGGUAGAAUUCCAGGUGUAGCGGUGAAAUGCGUAGAGAUGUGGAGGAACACCAGUGGCGAAGGCGGCUCACUGGCUCGAUACUGACGCUGAGGUGCGAAAGCGUGGGGAGCAAACAGG
rnacentral:rRNA from 1 species